AUGCUUCAGAACUCCGAUUUUGUUUCAUCGUUUCUCAUCAUCUUUGCAAACUCGCUCUUGUUUGACUCUGCGGUUCUCUCUUUCCAUCUCCGCUCCAUCGCUAUCAUAGCCAACCGUUCACCGCCAUUGCUCCUCUUUUUCACCGCAAUACCAACAAUGUUGUUCUCAAUCUUCACUUUUGAUGCCUCAGGAAACAUCAAAAUCGGAAUCGAACUUCUUGCAAGAAGUGACUUCAGAGAUAAUAUGAUGGAGUGA